rnacentral:tRNA from 1 species
GCCUGGGUAGCUCAGUCGGUGGAGUGUCUGACUUCAGCUUAGGUCAUGAUCUCAUGGGUUGUGGGUUUGAACCCCACAUUGGGCU